AAGGGUGCGUAGGCGGUUUGGCAAGUCUUGUGUGAAUCUAUGGGCUCAACCCAUAGCCUGCACGAGAAACUACCGGGCUUGAGUAUUGGAGAGGUGAGUGGAAUUUCCGGUGUAGCGGUGAAAUGCGUAGAUAUCGGAAGGAACACCUGUGGCGAAAGCGGCUCACUGGACAAUAACUGACGCUGAUGCACGAAAGCUAGGGGAGCAAACAGGAUUAGAUACCCUGGUAGUCCUAGCCCUAAACGAUGAUUGCUUGGUGUGGCAGGUACCCAAUCCUGCCGUGCCGAAGCUAACGCGAUAAGCAAUCCGCCUGGGGAGUACGGUCGCAAGACUGAAACUCAAAGGAAUUGACGGGGGCCCGCACAAGCGGUGGAGCAUGUGGUUUAAUUCGACGCAACGCGAAGAACCUUACCUGGGCUCGAAAUGCACAAGAAUCCGGCAGAAACGUCGGCGUCUAGCAAUAGGCUUGUGUAUAGGUGCUGCAUGGCUGUCGUCAGCUCGUGUCGUGAGAUGUUGGGUUAAGUCCCGCAACGAGCGCAACCCUUAUCUUCAGUUGCUACCAUUUAGUUGAGCACUCUGACGAAACCGCCUCGGAUAACGGGGAGGAAGGUGGGGAUGACGUCAAGUCCUCAUGGCCUUUAUGUCCAGGGCUACACACGUGCUACAAUGGCCGGUACAAACCGCUGCAACCCCGCGAGGGUGAGCUAAUCGGAAAAAGCCGGCCUCAGUUCGGAUUGGAGUCUGCAACUCGACUCCAUGAAGCUGGAAUCGCUAGUAAUCGUGG
rnacentral:rRNA from 1 species